CAGCAGCCGCGGUAAAACGGAGAGGGCUAGCGUUGUUCGGAAUUACUGGGCGUAAAGCGCACGUAGGCGGCUUGGUAAGUUAGAGGUGAAAGCCUGGAGCUCAACUCCAGAAUUGCCUUUAAGACUGCCGGGCUAGCAGGUGAGAGAGGUAAGUGGAAUUCCGAGUGUAGAGGUGAAAUUCGUAGAUAUUCGGAAGAACACCAGUGGCGAAGGCGGCUUACUGGCUCAUACUGGACGCUGAGGUGCGAAAGCGUGGGGAGCAAACAGGAUUAGAUACCCCCGUAGUCCCUGUCUCUUAUAC
rnacentral:rRNA from 1 species